AAAUCUAACAUAUUCGAUAAUUAUGGACUCGAUACAUACCUAAUCGCAUCACUAAAGUGAUAAAUUAUCGAUUUUCACUGAUUUUGACUUGACAUUUGAAUCAUUUGAAUUUUCAAUACAUUAUUCGGUGAGAAGCUGUGGGAUAUUUUAACAAAAAUCUCACGCAAGAUUUAUUGGAGACCACCUCGGAAAGAAAAAUGACGUCUAUUGCCGGGAAAUAUCAACAUUACAAGAAUGAAGACAUUGACGAUUAUUUCAGUGCUGUUGGUGUACCGUACAUGGGCCGCAAAAUGAUGUCAAUGUCAUCACCACUGAUGGAAAUAUCAGUGGAGGGUGACAAAAUGACCAUCAAGAACUCUUCACUACUUCGCACAGUUGAGAACACAUUCAAAUUGGGCGAGGAGUACAUAGAGAACAUGCCUAAUGCCAAAAUCAAAAGCGUGACUACCAUGGUGACUGACAAUCAGAUAGAGACUAAGUCCAUCGUAGAAGACACCGGUGCCAACUGCGGCAGACAUUAUGUCUUCACUGAUGAUGAGUGCGUUAUUGUAAGUACACCUGCACAGUCUAUGUUGAUAUUACUUAUAAUACAAUAUUAUAGAACCGCAUAGAAUUGUUUGAUAAUAAGCUAAUGAGGUACAUUCUUUAAUAAAUUCUUUGAGAGUAACAUCAUACACAGGCAAUAUGCAAAGUAAGAUGAAAAUUGAGUGCCUCCUCUUUUUAGGAAAGUCUGUUAAAAAAAGCAUGAUGUGCACCCUAUGGGGCCCAAAAUGUAUGCCCACAAUCAUUAGUCAAUUAAUGUGGUAAUUUUGCUUCUAAAACAUACAAUCUUGGAUUGUGGUAUUCAAAAAAGAUAUAAAAUUCUGUGUGAAAAACAAUCCUAAACAGUGAUAAUUGACGUCGUAAUUUUUUUCAUCUAGAAUACUUGCCCUACUGAUUAGACUAAUAAGAAUUAAAAUAUUUUGUUUCAUUUCUGAACAACGUGAUUGAUAAUGAAAAGUUAAAAAUAAUAUUUUUUGCAAAGAAUAAUAAAAUGCUUCUAGAAGCUCUUUGCCUUAUCUUAAUUUUUUUGAACUACCUAUGUUUGAUUGUCGCUAUCUUAUUAAUGUUUUGACAUUUUCUGUUUAGACCCUGACCCACGAGAAGGCCGCCACCCCUGCAAAACGUUACUUCCGCAGAGUUAAAUAAAUCGAUAAUGAAUGAUUUAUGAAA